rnacentral:lncRNA from 1 species
UGGGCUAUAGCUCUCUAAAUCCUAAAUUGACCUGGGCUGGGCUUAACCCUUAGAGGCUUGGUCUUUGAAAAGCCCAUGUGUGCGCCACGCUGUGCUGAAUUCUAAAAUUGUUUUCUUUAGAAAUUCUUUGUACACAGUAUGUGGUGUAGAAAAUUCAACAUGGAGCGUACUAUUUUAUCCAAUCGUCUCACCAUUUUCCAACGCGUAUUUAAUGUCAA